rnacentral:rRNA from 1 species
AUUGAACGCUGGCGGCAGGCUUAACACAUGUAAAUCGAACGAGUGGCGGACGCGUGAGUAAUGCUUGGGAUUCUAGCUUAUGGAUGGGGAUAACUACGGGAAACUGUCGCUAAUACCGCGUACCAUAGGAUGAGCCCAAGUGGGAUUAGGUAGUUGGUGAGGUAAAGGCUCACCAAGCCGACGAUCUCUAGCUGGUCCGAGAGGAUGACCAGACACACUGUGACUGAGACACGGCCCAGAAGCCUACGGGAGGCAGCAGUGGGGAAUAUUGCGCAAUGGGGGCAACCUGACGCAGCCAUGCAGCGUGAAUGAAGAAGGCGUUCGGGUUGUAAAGUUCUCUCGGGAGAGAGUCGUUAACGACAGAAGACGCACCGGCUAACUCCGUGCCAGCAGCCGCGGUAAUAC